rnacentral:rRNA from 1 species
UUAAAUUGAAGAGUUUGAUCAUGGCUCAGAUUGAACGCUGGCGGCAGGCCUAACACAUGCAAGUCGAACGGUAACAGAAAGAAG